UGUUGUCGUUCUUGUAGUUAUUGUCGUCGUUGUUGUUGUUAUCGCUGUUUUUUUUGUUCUCGUCUUUGUCAUUGUUCUCAUCAUUGUUAUCGUUGUCUUAGUUGUUGUCAUUGUUGUUGUUGUUGUCGUUGUUGUUGUUGUUGUUGUUGUUGUUGUUGUUGUUGAUGUUGUUCUUGUUGACGUUGUUGUUGAUGAUGUUGUUGUUGUUGUUGUCCUUGUUGUGAUUGUUGUUUUCGUUGUUGUUGUUGUCAUUGUUGUUGUUAUUGUUGUUGUUGUUGUUGUUGUUGUUGUUUUCGUUGUUGUUUUCGUUGUUG
rnacentral:lncRNA from 1 species